UGAGUACGAGCUGCUACGGCAGCGAAGUGGGUGAUGUCAAGCUUCCAAGAAAAGCCCUAUACCCGUUAAGGCAUGAUGGCCUGUACCCGAAACCGACACAGGUGGGGUGGUAGAGAAUACCGAGGGGCGCGAGAUAACUCUCUCUAAGGAACUCGGCAAAAUGGCCCCGUAACUUCGGGAGAAGGGGUGCCACCGCAAGGUGGUCGCAGUGAAGAGGCCCAGGCGACUGUUUACCAAAAACACAGGUCUCCGCUAAGUCGCAAGACGAUGUAUGGGGGCUGACGCCUGCCCAGUGCCGGAAGGUUAAGGAAGCUGGUCAGCGAAAGCGAAGCUAGCGACUGAAGCCCCGGUGAACGGCGGCCGUAACGAUAACGGUCCUAAGGUAGCGAAAUUCCUUGUCGGGUAAGUUCCGACCCGCACGAAAGGCGUAACGAUCUGGGCGCUGUCUCGGAGAGAGGCUCGGCGAAAUAGAAUUGUCUGUGAAGAUGCGGACUACGUGCACCCGGACAGAAAGACCCUAUGAAGCUUUACUGUAGCUUGGUAUUGUGCUCGGGCUCGGAAUGCGCAGGAUAGGUGGGAGGCUAUGAACCAUUGCUUGUGGGUGAUGGUGAGCCACUGGUGAGAUACCACUCUUUCCGAGCUAGAGUUCUAACAGCCACCCGUUAUCCGGGGGCUGGACAGUAUCAGGUGGGCAGUUUGACUGGGGCGGUCGCCUCCUAAAAGGUAACGGAGGCGCGCAAAGGUUUGCUCAGGCUGGUUGGAAAUCAGCCGACGAGUGUAAAAGCAGAAGCAAGCUUGACUGUGAGACCUACAAGUCGAACAGGGAGGAAACUCGGCUUUAGUGAUCCGACGGUUCUGCGUGGAAGGGCCGUCGCUCAACGGAUAAAAGUUACUCUAAGGAUAACAGGCUGAUCUCCCCCAAGAGUUCACAUCGACGGGGAGGUUUGGCACCUCGAUGUCGGCUCAUCGCAACCUGGGGCUGAAGUCGGUCCCAAGGGUUGGGCUGUUCGCCCAUUAAAGCGGUACGCGAGCUGGGUUCAGAACGUCGUGAGACAGUUCGGUCCAUAUCCGGUGCAUGCGCAGGAAUAUUGAGAGGAUUUCUCCCUAGUACGAGAGGACCGGGAGGAACGCACCUCUGGUGUACCAGUUAUCGUGCCAACGGUAAACGCUGGGUAGCCAUGUGCGGAGAGGAUAACCGCUGAAAGCAUCUAAGUGGGAAGCCCACCUCAAGAUGAGUAUUCCCAUGGGGUAACCCAGUAAGGUCACGGGAAGAACACCCGUUGAUAGGCUCUACGUGGAAGCGCAGUAAUGUGUGAAGCGGAGGAGUACUAAUAGACCGAGGGCUUG
rnacentral:rRNA from 1 species